UUUCCGUAGGUGAACCUGCGGAAGGAUCAUUACUGAGUGAGGGCCCUCUGGGUCCAACCUCCCACCCGUGUUUAUUGUACCUUGUUGCUUCGUUGAGCCCGCCUUACGGCCGCCGGGGGGCAUCUGCCCCCGGGCUCGCGCUCGCAGCAGACACCCUUGAACUCUGUCUGAAGUUUGCAGUGUGAGCGAAACCUAAAUAAGUUAAAACUUUCAACAACGGAUCUCUUGGUUCCG
rnacentral:misc_RNA from 1 species